GGCACAGUGGUCUAAUGGUAUGGUACCUGCUAUGUAUUGUCCUGCUGGGUCCAAGCAGAGGGUGGGUGAUCUGGGUUCAAUUCCCAGCUGAGCCA